UACAGAGGUCUCAAGCGUUGUUCGGAUUCAUUGGGCGUAAAGGGCGCGUAGGUGGCGCGGUCAGUUCGUGGUGAAAGCGCGGGGCUCAACCCCGCGUCGGCCAUGAAUACUGCUGGGCUGGAGCACUGUAGAGGCAGGCGGAAUUCCGGGUGUAGCGGUGGAAUGCGUAGAUAUCGUGAGGAAGACCAGUGGCGAAGGCGGAUCUCUGGACAGUUCCUGACGCUGAGGCGCGAAGGCCAGGGGAGCAAACGGG
rnacentral:rRNA from 1 species